rnacentral:rRNA from 1 species
CAGUCGCCGCGGGAAUACAGAGGGUGCAAGCGUUAAUCGGAUUUACUGGGCGUAAAGGGCACGUAGGUGGUUAUUUAAGUGAGAUGUGAAAGCCCCGGGCUUAACCUGGGAACUGCAUCUUAUACUGGGUAACUGGAGUGCAGUAGAGGGUAGUGGAAUUUCCGGUGUAGCGGUGAAAUGCGUAGAUAUCGGAAGGAACACCAGUGGCGAAGGCGGCUACCUGGACGAAGACUGACGCUCAGGUACGAAAGCGUGGGGAGCAAACAGGAUUAGAUACCCCUGUAGUCCCUGUCUCUUAUAC